CCUACGGGGGGCAGCAGUGGGGAAUAUUGGACAAUGGGGGCAACCCUGAUCCAGCCAUGCCGCGUGUGUGAAGAAGGCCCUCGGGUUGUAAAGCACUUUCAGUGAGGAAGAACGCCUGGUGGUUAAUACCCAUCAGGAAAGACAUCACUCACAGAAGAAGCACCGGCUAACUCCGUGCCAGCAGCCGCGGUAAUACGGAGGGUGCGAGCGUUAAUCGGAAUUACUGGGCGUAAAGCGCGCGUAGGUGGCUUGAUAAGCCGGUUGUGAAAGCCCCGGGCUCAACCUGGGAACGGCAUCCGGAACUGUCAAGCUAGAGGGCAGGAGAGGAAGGUAGAAUUCCCGGUGUAGCGGUGAAAUGCGUACAGAUCGGGAGGAAUAACAGUGGCGAAGGCGGCCUUCUGGACUGACAAUGACACUGAGGUGCGAAAGCGUGGGUAGCAAACAGGAUUAGAUACCCCAGUAGUC
rnacentral:rRNA from 1 species